rnacentral:rRNA from 1 species
UACGUAGGGUGCAAGCGUUGUCCGGAAUUAUUGGGCGUAAAGAGCUCGUAGGCGGCCUGUUGCGUCGGCUGUGAAAACCCGGGGCUCAACCCCGGGCCUGCAGUCGAUACGGGCAGGCUAGAGUCCGGCAGGGGAGACUGGAAUUCCUGGUGUAGCGGUGAAAUGCGCAGAUAUCAGGAGGAACACCGAUGGCGAAGGCAGGUCUCUGGGCCGAUACUGACGCUGAGGAGCGAAAGCGUGGGGAGCGAACAGG